UACGUAGGGGGCUAGCGUUAUCCGGAAUUACUAGGCGUAAAGGGUGCGUAGGUGGUUUCUUAAGUCAGAGGUGAAAGGCUACGGCUCAACCGUAGUAAGCCUUUGAAACUGGGGAACUUGAGUGCAGGAGAGGAGAGUGGAAUUCCUAGUGUAGCGGUGAAAUGCGUAGAUAUUAGGAGGAACACCAGUUGCGAAGGCGGCCUGCUGGACUGCAACUGACGUUGAGGCCCGAAAGCGUGGGGAGCAAACAGG
rnacentral:rRNA from 1 species